GAUGAACGCUGGCGGCGUGCCUAAUACAUGCAAGUCGAGCGAACAGACGAGGAGCUUGCUCCUCUGACGUUAGCGGCGGACGGGUGAGUAACACGUGGAUAACCUACCUAUAAGACUGGGAUAACUUCGGGAAUCCGGAGCUAAUACCGGAUAAUAUAUUGAACCGCAUGGUUCAAUAGUGAAAGACGGUUUUGCUGUCACUUAUAGAUGGAUCCGCGCCGCAUUAGAUAGUUGGUAAGGUAACGGCUUACCAAGGCGACGAUGCGUAGCCGACCUGAGAGGGUGAUCGGCCACACUGGAACUGAACCACGGUCCAGACUCCUACGGGAGGCAGCAGUAGGGAAUCGUCCGCAAUGGGCGAAAGCCUGGCGGAGCAACGCCGCGUGAGUGAUGAAGGUCUUCGGAUCGUAAAACUCUGUUAUUAGGGAAGAACAAAUGUGUAAGUAACUAUGCACGUCUUGACGGUACCUAAUCAGAAAGCCACGGCUAACUACGUG
rnacentral:rRNA from 1 species